GGGCCAAGCAGAAAAGCCCUGCCCUCAAGGCCUGGCUGUCAGGUAAAGAUGACUGUGGUGAUUCAGUCCCACCCCCUGCCUCAUCUUCUGCAUCCCUAUCUUCCUUCUGGCCCAUCUCCCUUCCUAGGGAAAGCCCCUUCUCCCAGCUCAGGGUAUUUCAAGGAUUAAAUGAGAUGAUGUGUGAAGAGCCUGGCAUAGAAUAAUAGCCUUGUUACAAACCCCAAGGCCAGACCCAGAAGGGAGUAUGACUGGGAUCAUGAAAGCAUAGACUUUGGAACACCAGGUCGGCGCCAGGCAUGAAUGCUGCCUAUGCACUUGCUGGUUGUUCUUGAGACUUGCCCCAAAAGGAAAUAGCCUGGGAUAAAAACAAGGAAAUCUGGAUUAUGUCAAUGUAAUCCAUGACAUUUAGGAGUACGUGAUUGAAACAGAAUAUGUCUUGAGAAAGAUAAGACCAAAAAAAUUCUUGUAGUCUGCACCUAGGAAUAAAAUCUGGACUCAGAGUGGACUCUGCAUCUCAGUCCAGUAGAGGCUGCAGGUCUCCUGACCCAUUGCACCA